rnacentral:misc_RNA from 1 species
GAUGAAGAACGUAGUGAAAUGCGAUAAGUAAUGCGAAUUGCAGAAUUCAGUGAAUCAUCGAAUCUUUGAACGCACAUUGCGCCCGCUAGUAUUCUGGCGGGCAUGCCUGUCUGAGCGUCAUUUCAACCCUCGCCCCCGGCUUUUGCUGGGAGCGGUGUUGGGGAUCGGCCGCCCGUCACUGGGAGGCCGGCCCCGAAAUAGAGUGGCGACCACGCCGUGUGCUCCUCUGCGUAGUAGUAAAUCACCUCGCAGGCGGACAGCGGUGCGGCCUGCCGUAAAACCCCCAACUCUUUCUGGUUGACCUCAGAGCAGGUAGGAAUACCCGCUGAACUUAAGCAUAUCAAUAAGCGGAGGA